UACGGAGGAUGCGAGCGUUAUCCGGAUUUAUUGGGUUUAAAGGGUGCGUAGGCGGGAAGAUAAGUCAGCGGUGAAAGUUUGAGGCUCAACCUUAAAAUUGCCGUUGAAACUGUUUUUCUUGAGUGUAGAUGAAGUAGGCGGAAUUCGUGGUGUAGCGGUGACAUGCAUAGAUAUCACGAGGAACUCCGAUUGCGAAGGCAGCUUACUAAGCUACCACUGACGCUGAAGCACGAAAGCGUGGGUAUCAAACAGGAUUAGAUACCCCCGUAGUCC
rnacentral:rRNA from 1 species